AUUGAACGCUGGCGGCAGGCUUAACACAUGCAAGUCGAACGAGCGGCGGACGGGUGAGUAAUGUCUGGGAAACUGCCUGAUGGAGGGGGAUAACUACUGGAAACGGUAGCUAUUACCGCAUAACAUCAGAUGUGCCCAGAUGGGAGUAGCUCGGUGGGGGGGUAAGGGCUCACCUAGGGGACGAUCCCUAGCUGGUCUGAGAGGAUGACCGGCCACACUGGAACUGAGACACGGGCCAGACUCCUACGGGAGGCAGCAGUGGGGAAUAUUGGACAAUGGGCGCAAGGCUGAUGCAGCCAAUCCGCGUGUGUGAAGAAGGCCUUCGGGUUGUAAAGCACUUUCAGCGAGGAGGCGUUACUUACCGAAGAAGCACCGGCUAACUCCGUGCCAGCCGCCGCGGUAAUUC
rnacentral:rRNA from 1 species